rnacentral:rRNA from 1 species
UACGAAGGUCCCAAGCGUUAUCCGGAUUUAUUGGGUUUCAAGGGUGCGUAGGCGGGCUGUUAAGUCAGUGGUGAAAGCUCCAUGCCUAACAUGGAAAUUGCCAUUGAUACUGACGGUCUUGAGUACAUUUGAAGUGGGCGGAAUGUGUCAUGUAGCGGUGAAAUGCUUAGAUAUGACACAGAACACCGAGUGCGAAGGCAGCGCACUAAACUGUAACUGACGCUGAGGCACGAAAGCGCGGGGAGCAAACAGG